GUGCCAGCAGCCGCGGUAAUACCGGCAGUUCGAGUGAUGGCCGAUCUUAUUGGGCCUAAAGCGUUCGUAGCUGGCCGGGCAAGUCCGUCGGGAAAUCUAUCCGCUCAACGGAUAGACGUCCGGCGGAAACUGCCCGGCUUGGGACCGGGAGACCCGAGAGGUACGUCCGGGGUAGGAGUGAAAUCCUGUAAUCCUGGACGGACCACCGAUGGCGAAAGCAUCUCGGGAGCACGGAUCCGACAGUGAGGAACGAAAGCUGGGGUCUCGAACCGGAUUAGAAACCCUGGUAGUCC
rnacentral:rRNA from 1 species